rnacentral:rRNA from 1 species
GCCAACAUGGCUUCGAAAAAAGCGAAAAGGUGCGUUCCGCACUCACGAGGGACUGCCACUGAUAUAGUGGACGAAGGUGGGGAAGCCGUCAAGUCCGCCUGGGCUAUAUGGGGUGGGCGGCACACGUGGUUCAACCGCAAUUACAAUGGGAAGCAAGGGAGUAAGCCGGAGAGAAUCCGGAAAGAUUUCUUCAGUUAGGAUUGUUAUGUGGAAAUUGAGAACAUGAAGUUGGAAUCGCUAGUAAUAGCGGAUCAGCAUGCCGCGGUGAAUAUGUACCCGGGCCCUGUACACACUGCCCGUCACACCGAGGGAUUUGGUUUCUCCCGAAGCAUCAGGCACAAUGAUCCCCCAUGAGUUGUGGGUACCACUAGUCUCACAAAGGCUUUUGGUUAUGUAAGGGGCGCAUACCACGGUGGGGUCUGUGACCCCUUAAAAGGGCGUAACAAGGUAAUCAAGCGG